ACCUCUCGGGUAUGGAGGAUGGGAGUGCUCUGUACUGUACUGCUGUCACCUCUCGGGUAUGGAGGAUGGGAGUGUGCUCUGUACUGUACAGCGCAGACACAUCAGGGGAGUCUGUCCCUUUAAUUCCGUCUCUGCUCCGGAUUCAGCUCUAAGUUUCAUUUUACAAGAAGUUGCAUUGUUUUUCUAAAAUGUGAGGCUCCCGGCGGAUGGGGGGGGGGUAUCUGUGAAAAGCUGGGUGACGGCUCCUCCUGGGGCAGCAGUCGUGGACGUUCAUGAUACUUCUUGAGGGAUUUACAUUUACAGUCAGUAACUAUAUCCUGGGUUUGACAUGUGGAGUUUCCCGUUUUCUGUUCGCCGGUGCGGCUCCAGGGUGUGAUCUGCUGCCCUUUAAAUCUGACGACAUCUCUGCGGCUUCUGUAAACUUCCUCUGUGUCUCUUGGUGCUGCUCGUCUCUGGGACUUUUAAUUUUCUCCAUCUGUGACGACGGCAGGACGCCAGGUCGGUUAUGGACGCUGUAGUCGCCAUCGCUUUGUGGCCCUUUCUAUACGCAGGAAAAUGUGGCAGAGCUCUGGUUAAUAUGUUGUGUCCGACAAGAGCUAAGGAGGAAGAAGGACAAAGCGAUCCGAGAGACGACUGCUGCAUCUGUCUUCUGAGCGCGUGCGGGGCCGGGUUUCCACUGGGCAGCCUCUACCGGCCCCCACCGCAGGACUUGGUGGUCUGAGCAGCCACCUCUCCCUUGUCUACCACUGACAGAGAAGAGCCUAAAGGAACUGCCCACUGGACCUUGGACAAUUUUGCUCUUUUAGGGCCUUCCCGAACUUUAGACAAAACCCCCCUCGUACCCCCUGCACGGCCCCUCCCCCCAUUAUCUGCCCCCUUUCUAUGUACUUGACCCCAGAACACGAAAACCUAUUGUUAUAUUGGAGUAGUAUUUCCUGCGUAUAUUUCCAUUGAGAUGGGGGGGGGGGGGGUUAAUGCAGGAUAUUGGGGUACAGGGGUUCUGACCAUUUUCCAGCUCUAGCCCCUUCGUUGCUGUGGGUAGGGACGAUGUCGGGACGCGGUUACCACAGGACGGGUUUCUUCAUGUAACGUUCCCGCUACGUUGACGACGUUCUAUGUUCUUAUUUCCUUCAGUAUAAAUUAUUAUGAAGGCCCUUAGACUCUCACAGAGGUUUGGGUAUAGGGUCCGACCCUACCAUGGCGAUGAGACCCGCGAGGUGGUGGAGGGGCAACCAGGGGUUCAGCUUCUCCUCCCAGAAAACCUUUGGGCAAGGCCAGUCAGUAUUGGCAAGAAGGGGGGCACAGGUAUGAUGUGGCUGCAGGAAAUGAGGCACCCAAACGGGGUCACCAGUGAAGACAAUGGGGUGCUUGCCGGACCAGUCACCGGGGAACGAGCUAGGGCCUCGUUUUGACUGAUUUGCCUUAGUACCACGUAUAUCCUUUCUUGGUUUUAUGGGGUUUUCUAUACCUGUAUCAUAAGCUGAGGGUCAACUGCUGAGGGCACGGACUCGGCCCCUCAGGAUCAUUGAAAGUCCCGGCAUCCGGACCCCUCUGGUUCUUUUUUGGAUGGCGAAAUAAGGGUGGCCGCAAUAUACUGUCCAUCUAUCAUAGGUUAAAGUGGAAUUACUAAAAAAAACUAAUUUUUACAAACUUCAUUUUGCACAAUUUUAGUAUGUAACAAUAAAAAACCACUAUAAGUAAAUUUUCUUAGAAAUGUCUUGCAUCUCAUUAUGGCUGAGUUUAUGACCAAAGCUGCUGAACAUGCAGGGGGUGAUGUAUUAUACUCCAGAGCUGAACUCACGAUUCUGCUGUUUGUGAUAGGAAACAGUUAUCAUGCUUGUUUUUAGGCACAUUCCUAACAGCCCAUAAUGCAGUCCCUUCCACUUUUCCACUGUACAAGACGAUGAACCAGCAGGGGCUGCUGUGUUAUUAUAGUCACGUGCUUUCCUAUUCGUCCAUUGCACUAUUAUUUCCGCAUAAUGAUGUCAUCACCAGAUGUGUAACAAACUUGUAAUAAAAUAAAAAUGUG